CGCAUCUGUGCAUGCAGCAUAUCAAUAAGCGGAGGAAAAGAAACUAACAAGGAUUCCCUUAGUAACGGCGAGUGAAGCGGGAAGAGCUCAAAUUUGAAAUCUUCAAGGUUUUACCUUGACGAAUUGUAGUUUAAAGAAGUGUUUUCUGUUGAAGUUUUGGUAAAAGUUCUUUGGAAUAGGACAUCAUAGAGGGUGAGAAUCCCGUAUUUGACCAUUAUUUUCAGCUGUGUGAUACACUUUCAAAGAGUCGGAUUGUUUGGGAAUGCAGUCCAAAAUGGGUGGUAAAUUUCAUCUAAAGCUAAAUAUUGGCGAGAGACCGAUAGCGAACAAGUACCGUGAGGGAAAGAUGAAAAGAACUUUGAAAAGAGAGUUAAACAGUACGUGAAAUCGUCAAAAGGGAAGCGUUUGACACCAGUGUUGUUUUCUCGAAAAUCAAUUAAAAAGAGUUUGAUUUUGUUGUGUAUUGACCUUAACAGCUUGCAUUUCAAUUUUCUUGCUUUUUUUAAUGCACUUUUCGUUUAACAAGUCAACAUCAGUUUCUUUUGUUGUAAAAAGGUCAUUGGAAGGUGGCUUUCUUUUCGGAGAAAGUGUUUAUAGCCUUUGACUCCUGCAAUCGGAGAGACUGAGGUCUGCAGCGUAGAUCCUUCGGGGUUAGAUACAUUUGUGCUAAGUUAUAGCUUUUUAUAGACAACUUGUUGACUAUGAUUAGUCUUGUAGCUUACUCGCUUAUGCUAUUUUACCUACGCUUAGGAUGUUGAACUCUAUCACACACAG
rnacentral:rRNA from 1 species